UCCCUGGUGGUCCAGUGGUUAAGGCUUUGCUUUCUAAAGCAGGGAUUCUGGGUUCAAUCCCAGGUCAGGGAG
rnacentral:tRNA from 1 species